rnacentral:rRNA from 1 species
GACGAACGCUGGCGGCGUGCCUAAUACAUGCAAGUAGAACGCUGAAGGAGGAGCUUGCUCUUCUGGAUGAGUUGCGAACGGGUGAGUAACGCGUAGGUAACCUGCCUGGUAGCGGGGGAUAACUAUUGGAAACGAUAGCUAAUACCGCAUAACAGUAGAUGUUGCAUGACAUUUACUUAAAAGGUGCAAUUGCAUCACUACCAGAUGGACCUGCGUUGUAUUAGCUAGUUGGUCGGGUAACGGCUCACCAAGGCGACGAUACAUAGCCGACCUGAGAGGGUGAUCGGCCACACUGGGACUGAGACACGGCCCAGACUCCUACGGGAGGCAGCAGUAGGGAAUCUUCGGCAAUGGACGGAAGUCUGACCGAGCAACGCCGCGUGAGUGAAGAAGGUUUUCGGAUCGUAAAGCUCUGUUGUAAGAGAAGAACGAGUGUGAGAGUGGAAAGUUCACACUGUGACGGUAUCUUACCAGAAAGGGACGGCUAACUACGUG